rnacentral:lncRNA from 1 species
UAUUAUGGAUAAUGUUCUGUGUGCCCUAGAGAAGAAUGUGCAUUUGGCUGCUGUUGGCUGGACAUUUCCGUAUAUGUCUACUUGGUUUAUUUGGUUUAUAAUGUUGUUCGAGUCAGUUGUCUGUUACUGAUUUUUUGGUGGAUAUUUUAUCCUUUAUUGAAAUGGGGUAUUAAAGUUUCUUACUGUUAUUGUAUUACUGUCAAUUUCUCCAUUCACAUCUGUCAAACAUUUCUUUUUUUUAUUUUUUUAUUUUAUUAUUAUUAUACUUUAAGUUUUAGGGUACAUGUGCACAAUGUGCAGGUUAGUUACAUAUGUAUACAUGUGCCAUGCUGGUGUGCUGCACCCAUUAACUCAUCAUUUAGCAUUAGGUAUAUCUCCUAAUGCUAUCCCUCCCCCCUCCCCCACCCCACAACAGUCCCCAGAGUGUGAUGUUCCCCUUCCUGUGUCCAUGUGUUCUCAUUGUUCAAUUCCCACCUAUGAGUGACAAUAUGCGGUGUUUGGUUUUUUGUUCUUGUGAUAGUUUACUGAGAAUGAUGAUUUCCAAUUUCAUCCAUGUACCUGCAAAGGACAUGAACUCAUCAUUUUUUAUGGCUGCAUAGUAUUCCAUGGUGUAUAUGUGCUGCAUUUUCUUAAUCCAGUCUAUCAUUGUUGGACAUUUGGGUUGGUUCCAAGUCUUUGCUAUUGUGAAUAGUGCCGCAAUAAACAUAUGUGUGCAUAUGUCUUUAUAGCAGCAUGAUUUAUAGUCCUUUGGGUAUAUACCCAGUAAUGGGAUGGCUGGGUCAAAUGGUAUUUCUAGUUCUAGAUGCCUGAGGAAUCACCACACUGACUUCCACAAUGGUUGAAUGUCAAUUUUGUCUUUUGUU